GACGAACGCUGGCGGCAGGCCUAACACAUGCAAGUCGAGCGAGCGGCGGACGGGUGAGUAAUGCUUGGGCAUCGCCCAGUCGAGGGGUAUAACAGUUGGAAAAGACCGCUAAUACCGCAUUCGAUUGGAUUGCCCAGGUGGGAUUAGCUAGUUGGUGGGGUAAUGGGUCACUAAGUCGACGAGCCCUCGCUGGUCUGAGAGGAUGAUCGGCCACACUGGAACUGGAACAGGGUCAAUGCUCCUACGGGAGGCAGCAGUGGGGAAUAGUGGACAAUGGGGGAAACCCUGGUGCAGCCGUGGCGCGUGUGUGAAGGAAGCCUUGGGGUUGUAAUGCAGGUUCAGCGGGUGGGCGGUAGUCGCAGAAGAAGCACCGGCUAACUCCGUGCCAGCAGCCGCGGUAAUAC
rnacentral:rRNA from 1 species